GACGAACGCUGGCGGCGUGCUUAACACAUGCAAGUCGAGCGAGUGGAUUCCCUUCGGGGAUGAAGCUAGCGGCGGACGGGUGAGUAACACGUGGGCAACCUGCCUUAUAGAGGGGGAUAGCCUUCCGAAAGGAAGAUUAAUACCGCAUAACAUCAGAUUAUCGCAUGGUAGACUGAUCAAAGGAGCAAUCCGCUAUAAGAUGGGCCCGCGUCGCAUUAGCUAGUUGGUGAGGUAACGGCUCACCAAGGCGACGAUGCGUAGCCGACCUGAGAGGGUGAUCGGCCACAUUGGGACUGAGACACGGCCCAGACUCCUACGGGAGGCAGCAGUGGGGAAUAUUGCACAAUGGGGGAAACCUUGAUGCAGCAACGCCGCGUGAGUGAUGAAGGCCUUCGGGUUGUAAAGCUCUUUGAUCAGGGACGAUAAUGACGGUACCUGAAGAACAAGCCACGGCUAACUACGUGCCAGCAGCCGCCGUAAGAC
rnacentral:rRNA from 1 species